rnacentral:lncRNA from 1 species
UGGAGCGUAGAGAGCUCACAGUCUAUUUAAAGGGAUGCCACCCACUUCCUGUACUUAUGUAAGUGAGAUCAGCAUCAGAGGCUAGAUGCCUCAAGGGAAUCAGCAAUGAAUGGGCAAGGACACGGAUUUUGGAGGCUGAGUGAAGCAUGGUUCUACAUGUCCCUUUAGUCCCAUCGAUGCCCAUAAGGAUCCUCUUUCCAACAGUCAGUCAUGAGAUGGGGAAGAACCGUGCCAUGAAGAUGCACUCUGAAAAGUGAGAGCUGGAUACACCCAGCUGCCUUUGACGAAUCUGAGGCAAACUCUCUCUUACCAGAAUUUGGAGGUGGGGCAUUUUUCCAGGCCCUUCAAUGCAGUCCAGUGAGAUUCCCAUACCUGACUCCAUACUCAAUACCAGGCAUGGGGUUGUGUCAGCGAGACAAGGCAUGCAGAGCAUGUGCUGGGGCUCCUGGAUCUCAGGGGUGUGGGAGAUGCUGCUGAGGCAGUGGACACAUUGCCAUGGCAACCUCCUCUAACAUGUACGUGGCUGGAGGUGCCGCCUGACUGUCUGCCAACUAGCCAUUGAUUUUGUCUAUUAUGGUUUUUCAAGUGAAUCACCAUGAGACAAAGCAAACAGAAAAGUGUACAUCUGCUAAAGAAUCUUAUUAAACUGUUC